GGUGAACGCUGGCGGUAGGCCUAACACAUGCAAGUCGAACGGCAGCACAGUAAGAGCUUGCUCUUACGGGUGGCGAGUGGCGGACGGGUGAGGAAUACAUCGGAAUCUACUUUUUCGUGGGGGAUAACGUAGGGAAACUUACGCUAAUACCGCAUACGACCUACGGGUGAAAGCAGGGGAUCUUCGGACCUUGCGCGAUUGAAUGAGCCGAUGUCGGAUUAGCUAGUUGGCGGGGUAAAGGCCCACCAAGGCGACGAUCCGUAGCUGGUCUGAGAGGAUGAUCAGCCACACUGGAACUGAGACACGGUCCAGACUCCUACGGGAGGCGGCAGUGGGGAAUAUUGGACAAUGGGCGCAAGCCUGAUCCAGCCAUACCGCGUGGGUGAAGAAGGCCUUCGGGUUGUAAAGCCCUUUUGUUGGGAAAGAAAAGCAGCAGGUUAAUACCCCGCUGUUCUGACGGUACCCAAAGAAUAAGCACCGGCUAACUUCGUG
rnacentral:rRNA from 1 species